rnacentral:rRNA from 1 species
GAUGAACGCUGGCGGCGUGCCUAAUACAUGCAAGUCGAGCGAACGGACGAGAAGCUUGCUUCUCUGAUGUUAGCGGCGGACGGGUGAGUAACACGUGGAUAACCUACCUAUAAGACUGGGAUAACUUCGGGAAACCGGAGCUAAUACCGGAUAAUAUUUUGAACCGCAUGGUUCAAAAGUGAAAGACGGUCUUGCUGUCACUUAUAGAUGGAUCCGCGCUGCAUUAGCUAGUUGGUAAGGUAACGGCUUACCAAGGCAACGAUGCAUAGCCGACCUGAGAGGGUGAUCGGCCACACUGGAACUGAGACACGGUCCAGACUCCUACGGGAGGCAGCAGUAGGGAAUCUUCCGCAAUGGGCGAAAGCCUGACGGAGCAACGCCGCGUGAGUGAUGAAGGUCUUCGGAUCGUAAAACUCUGUUACUAGGGAAGAACAUAUGUGUAAGUAACUGUGCACAUCUUGACGGUACCUAAUCAGAAAGCCACGGCUAACUACGUG